AGUAACACGUGGGAACGUACCUUUCGGUUCGGAAUAAUUCAGGGAAACUUGGACUAAUACCGGAUACGCCCUUCGGGGGAAAGAUUUAUCGCCGAAAGAUCGGCCCGCGUCUGAUUAGCUAGUUGGUGAGGUAAAGGCUCACCAAGGCGACGAUCAGUAGCUGGUCUGAGAGGAUGAUCAGCCACAUUGGGACUGAGACACGGCCCAAACUCCUACGGGAGGCAGCAGUGGGGAAUAUUGGACAAUGGGCGCAAGCCUGAUCCAGCCAUGCCGCGUGAGUGAUGAAGGCCUUAGGGUUGUAAAGCUCUUUUGUCCGGGAAGAUAAUGACUGUACCGGAAGAAUAAGCCCCGGCUAACUUCGUGCCAGCAGCCGCGGUAAUACGAAGGGGGCUAGCGUUGCUCGGAAUCACUGGGCGUAAAGGGCGCGUAGGCGGACUUUUAAGUCGGAGGUGAAAGCCCAGGGCUCAACCCUGGAAUUGCCUUCGAUACUGGGAGUCUUGAGUUCGGAAGAGGUUGGUGGAACUGCGAGUGUAGAGGUGAAAUUCGUAGAUAUUCGCAAGAACACCGGUGGCGAAGGCGGCCAACUGGUCCGAAACUGACGCUGAGGCGCGAAAGCGUGGGGAGCAAACAGGAUUAGAUACCCUGGUAG
rnacentral:rRNA from 1 species